rnacentral:RNase_P_RNA from 1 species
CCAGGGGGCUGGGCAGCCGCGUGUCGCAUUCCCGAACGGGAUCGGUGCGAGGAAAGUCCGGGCUCCACCAAGCAAGGGUGGCGGGUAACGCCCGCCGCGGGCAACCGUAGGGAAAGUGCCACAGAGAGCAUACCGCCGAUGGAGGGCGACCUCACAGGCAAGGGUGAAAGGGUGCGGUAAGAGCGCACCGGGACUUCGGCAACGCGGUCCGCAUGGCAAACCCCACCCGGAGCAAGGCCGAAUAGGGGCGGCGCGUUCUCUUCGGAGAGCAGGGGUGCUUAGCCCCUAGCGCAAGCUGCGACCGCCCGGGUUGGCUGCUCGAGCCGCGGAGCAAUCCGUGGCCCAGAUGAAUGGCUGCCCCCGCGGCGCCGGUCGUUUUCGCGAUACCGGCUGCGGGACAGAACCCGGCUUACAGGCCCCCUGGCAAC